rnacentral:lncRNA from 1 species
AUGUUGGCCCACAGUGUCUACAAGUUCUCAGAGGUUACAGUCCACUCAUCCAAAUUAUCCAAAUAUCAAUAUCAGGGAGAACUAUUCUCUACUGGCAGCAGCAGCAGCUCUGGGCACCAGUGCUCCAAGCACAUGCCUGGGGCGGCAAGCCACGGGGGGCCCCCUACCAGUCCCUGUAAAGGUGGCAGUCAGGCAGCCUUCAGCGGCACACCUGCAGGAGGUCCACCGGUCCCGCGGAUUCAGCGGCAAUUCGGCGGCAGGUAUGACAAAGCCGUGGGACUGGGUACCUCCUGCAGGCAAGCCGCCAAAGGCUGUCUGACUGUCGUGCUUGAGGUGGCAAAAAAACUAGAGCUGCCCCUGACUGAGAGCCAUCUUUUGNGUGCUUGAGGUGGCAAAAAAACUAGAGCUGCCCCUGACUGAGAGCCAUGAUAACUUCAGCAUCUUUUGCUUCUCCCAUUCACUUCUGUUAAUUUUGGCAUGAUAGCACUUUCCUCAUAGCAAAGAUUGGUAUUUCCAUGCUGUUUCUGCUCACUAUUCUUUAAUCCAUAUUAUAGACAGAUGCCUCACUAAAGUUGCCUUCCCAUGGCAUGUUACAUGUAGAAUUUAAACAAAAUACUGGUAUUUUUAAGUGAUAGUUUUGAUUAUUCUGCUUGUGUUAUUUUCUUGGUGGAUUGGUUUGGGUUUUUUUUCCACUUCUAAUACUGUAGCUUGGUUGCCAGUGGUCAUUCACUAUGUGCUGUGGUUCGGAAGUAGCAGUCUCAUGUCCCUCACUCUUAGAUCAUGAAGCUCAGUUGUGUCAAGGAGAUAACCUGCUUGAGCAAGGCAGUUAUUUAUUAUACAGUCAAACUGCCAGGUAGUUCAAAAAACAGCACUGGCAUCAGCUUUGAAGGGGAUUGUUUCCAGUUUAGCCAUCAGAACCCUCAAAUGAGAAACAGAAGGGGAUUCCCCAGAAUGAAGGCAUGGGGAUCCUCACAAUUCUCUUUCCCUAGCAUUGGAUUACAAACAAGGAUGAAGCUAAAUUGUACACAUGUUUGCCUGAGGCCCCAAUCCUGCAAACACUUAAGCACAAGAGUAAAUUUACACAUGUGAGCAGUCCCACUGAGUUGAAGACUAGUCACAUGCAUACAGUUAGUCACAUGCAUAAGCUGUUGCAGGAUUGGAGCUUAAGGGAGAAAAUUGAUACUGCAUAAAAAGAAAUAUUGCUCAGCUAAAUUUUCACUGAUUGUGCAAGUAUUUAAGAAGGUAUUCAAUAUUUUAAAUAAUCAUUAAUGUUAACUACCAAGUUAACAGUCUAUUGAAUUAGUCAAAAUGUAAUCUCAUUAGAACAGCUGGUCAAAAAUGAGAAAAAUAUGACAAAUUUUUGACAUUUCAAAAUUGUUUCCAUUUGGUAGGUUUCAAAACUGACCUAUUUGGGGGAUUUUUAAUCAAUUUUUUACCCUAAACAUUGUCAAAAUGGUUUCCAAUUUUCUUCAUUUACCAAAAACCAGGUUUUCAUAACCAUUUUACCAAAAACCUGCUUUUUGAUUAAAAAAACCUACUUUCUUAAACAUUUCAAUAAAAAGUUUUGAAAAAAAAAUGUUGAAAAAGUC